rnacentral:rRNA from 1 species
UACGUAGGGUCCGAGCGUUGUCCGGAAUUACUGGGCGUAAAGAGCUCGUAGGUGGUUUGUCGCGUUGUUCGUGAAAACUCACAGCUCAACUGUGGGCCUGCGGGCGAUACGGGCAGACUUGAGUACUGCAGGGGAGACUGGAAUUCCUGGUGUAGCGGUGGAAUGCGCAGAUAUCAGGAGGAACACCGGUGGCGAAGGCGGGUCUCUGGGCAGUAACUGACGCUGAGGAGCGAAAGCGUGGGGAGCGAACAGG